GACGAACGCUGGCGGCGUGCUUAAUACAUGCAAGUCGAACGGAAAGGCCUCUUUCGGGGGGUACUCGCGUGGCGAACGGGCGAGUAACACGUGCGUAACCUGCCCUUGACUUUGGGUUAACUUCAGUCAACUGGCGCUAAUACCGGAUAGGUGAUCUUGUUGCCUGGAGGGGGCUGGAAAGUUUCGGGGUUUGGUGGUGGAUUGGAGGAGUAUCCGCUCGUUAGUGGGGUAGUGGUUUACCAAGGUGUUGCCGGGUAGCCGGCCAGAGAGAGUGAUCGACGGCACUGGGACUUAGGGACGGCCCAAGCACCGACGGGAGGCAAAAGUGGGGAAGAUUGCACAAGGGGUGGAAGCCGGAUGCAGAAGCGCCGUGGGCGGGAUAACGGCCUUAGGGUUGUAAACCGAUUUCGCUCGUGACGAAGCUUUGUGUGACGGUAGUGGGUAAAGAAGCACCGGCUAACUACGUG
rnacentral:rRNA from 1 species